rnacentral:rRNA from 2 species
UUACAGAGUUGCAAAACUCCCUUACCA